GGAGGUCAUCCAGUUCAUGAACCUGAAAGAGUAUGAAGCAAAAUAUGACUGACAGACAGACUGAGGCAGAGAUGGGACGCUGCGAGUGACCCUUACUGCCUACAUACUGCACCUUGCUAUGCAGCCACACACACACACCAUUUUUUUCUUCCCCUGGCUCAGCGUCCUUCCCUUCCCUUGUGGUGUUGGCUGGGCCGUGAGUCUCCCACUCCUGGCUACGAUACACUCUCCUCCCUGGUGUUGGCCCUUGCCAGGUCUCCUCCCACACACCGUCUCCAGGCCUUCUUUGCCUCAUUUGGCCUCCUCCCUUCCACCUCCUCCACAGCCCCUCACAACACAUGUACAGAGGGAAGUAACACACACACACACAGAACUAUUAUUAUUAUUAUUAUUACUCUUCUCACUCAACACUUGCCACGUACAUCAUAUAAGAAACCUGGACAGACUCGACCAACACAGACACUCCUCCAGCAUCAAUUAUUAUUAUCAUCCUUAUAAUUACUAUUUCUCCCACACAUAAAACUUCAGGAAUCAACGACAAGCGCUACUCUUAUCUACAUUAGCCGGUGACCAACGUGUUACCAUUAUCAUCAUUAUUUUAUCAUCAUCAUGUGGUUCUUGAUUACAUUUUUAUUCAGUUUAUGUAAGGAGUAAUAUUUCAACCUUAAGUAUUGGGGGCACCUUCAGGGGUAGUUGUAUGACCCUGGUGGUAGUGUGACCCUUCCUCUGUACCAUGAACCUAAGAAACACACAUUGGACAAGGCUUUCAUAGGAGUCUUGGGGGUAUUUCCAGGGGUAGCAGUAUGACCCUGGUGGUAGUGUGACCCUUCCUCUGUACCAUGAACCUAAGAAACACACAUUGGACAAGAUUUUCGUAUAAGUCUUGGGGGCAUUUCCAGGGGUAGCAGUAUGACCCUGGUGGUAGUGUGACCCUUCCUCUGUACCAUGAACCUAAGAAACACACAUUUGACAAGAUUUUCGUAGAAGUCUUGGGGGCAUUUCCAGGGGUAGUUGUAUGACCCUGGUGGUAGUGUGACCCUUCCUCUGUACCAUGAACCUAAGAAACACACAUUUGACAAGGCUUUCGUAGGAGUCUUGGGGGUAUUUCCAGGGGUAGUUGUAUGACCCUGGUGGUAGUGUGACCCUUCCUCUGUACCAUGAACCUAAGAAACAUACAUUUGACAAGGCUUUCGUAGGAGUCUUGGGGGUAUUUCCAGGGGUAGUUGUAUGACCCUGGUGGUAGUGUGACCCUUCCUCUGUACCAUGAACCUAAGAAACACACAUUUGACAAGGCUUUCAUAGGAGUCUUGGGGGCAUUUCCAGGGGUAGUUGUAUGACCUUGUGAUAAUGAUAAUGAUAAUAAUAAUAAUAAUAAUGAUAAUAGUUAAAAAUGAUACCACAUAAGGAAUAUUUAGGCUGGUUCUCCUUCCCAGCUUUAAAAACGAGAUCCGGAAUAUAUACACACACACAUACAUAAAGGACUGGAUACUGAGGGAAAGGAAUCCAAUACCCUAUCCAAAUAACUGUUAGGAUUAAGAAGGAAGGGAAUCUAGGUUAUCCAAAUGACAGUAUAGGAUAGGACUGGAUACUAAGGGAAAGGAAUCCAAUACCCUAUCCAAAUAACUGUUAGGAUUAAGAAGGAAGGGAAUUUAGGCUAUCCAAAUGACAGUAUAGGAUAGGACUGGAUACUGAGGGAAAGGAAUCCAAUACCCUAUCCAAAUAAGUGUUAGGUUCAAGAAGGAAGGGAAUCUAAGUUAUCCAAAUGACAGUAUAGGAUAGCACUGGAUACUGAGGGAAAGGAAUCCAAUACCCUAUCCAAAUAAGUGUUAGGUUCAAGAAGGAAGGGAAUCUAGGUUAUCCAAAUGACAGUAUAGGAUAGGACUGGAUACUGAGGGAAAGGAAUCCAAUACCCUAUCCAAAUAAGUGUUAGGUUCAAGAAGGAAGGGAAUCUAGGUUAUCCAAAUGACAGUAUAGGAUAGGACUGGAUACUGAGGGAAAGGAAUCCAAUACCCUAUCCAAAUAAGUGUUAGGUUCAAGAAGGAAGGGAAUCUAGGUUAUCCAAAUGACAGUAUAGGAUAGCACUGAAUACCAAGGAAAAGGAAUCCAAUACCCUAUCAAAAUAAGUGUUAGGUUCAAGAAGGAAGGGAAUCUAGGUUAUCCAAAUGACAGUAUAGGAUAGGACUGGAUACUGAGGGAAAGGAAUCCAAUACCCUAUCCAAAUAAGUGUUAGGUUCAAGAAGGAAGGGAAUCUAGGUUAUCCAAAUGAAAGUAUAGGAUAGGACUGGAUACUAAAGGAAAAGGAAUCCAAUACCGUAUCCAAAUAAGUGUUAGGAUCGAGAGAGGAGAAGGGAAUUUAGCAUACCCAGAGAAGGAAGGAGAGUUUAACCCGGUAGCAGCGGGGAUCAUGUUUCUUAAUGGUCCCUCUAAGCGAGAAAAAUGAGAAAAAAUCACCCCUCACACAAACCAUUUCAUAAUAUAUACCGAAGCAUUUGUGAUCAGAUUAUGCAUCAUCUAUUUGGGGGGUUUAUAUCACGGCACAAAUUUGGCCCGUCGCUGGUACACGGUAAAGCCACAAAUUUGGCCCAUCACUGCUACACGGUAAAGCCACAAAUUUGGCCCGUCGCUGGUACACGGUUAAGACAGGACUGGAUACUGAGGGAAGAAUAAUAUAACUGAACUCUGAUAAUAAUAAUAAGCAUUGACUUACUCAUUUGCCUAUUUUGCUGCCUUAGGAUUUUCUACACUAAAAGAUGUUCCCUCCCUCCCUCAGUACUUUCAGUUGAUAGUGAUUGGUAAAACUGCAGAUUAAGACCACCGAUAUAGGAUGUUUUAGAGAGAGAGAGAGAGAGAGAGAGAGAGAGAGAGAGAGAGAGAGAGAGAGAGAGAGAGAGAGAGAGAGAGAGAGAGAGAGAGAGAGAGAGAGAGAGAGAGAGAGAGAGAGAGAGAGAGAGAGAGAGAGAGAGAGAGAGAGAGAGAGAGAGAGAGAGAGAGAGAGAGAGAGAGAGAAGAGAAAAUAUCGAACACAUUGCAUAAGACAACCUUCAUAAUCAAAACACUCCUUCUAAUCUAUAUUGUUCAAUACCAUAACACACACACACACACACACACACACACACACACACACAUCCACUGAACAAUACUUAAGGCCUUUUUGAACAAGUUUACACACACACACACACACACACACACACCAUCAUAUUUGGCUUGGGUGGUGAGGGAGGUGGUGGUGAUGGUGGUUAAAUGGAUAAAUAUAUAGACAAGUAAAUAAAUAGAUUGGAAGUUAUACAUGUUUAGUUUCAGGGUCAUUUUCUUAAAGUUUUUUGGCGGCCCAGCACACACAGUUUAAAGGCUUUCGUGGGAGUCUUGUGGGCAUUUCCAGGGGUGGUUUUGUGACCCUGGUGGUAGUGUGACCCUUCCUCUGUACCGUGAAUCUAAGAAACACACAUUUGGCAAGGCUUUCGUGGGAGUUGUGGGCAUUUCCAGGGGUGGUAGUGUGACCCUUCCUCUGUACCGUGAAUCUAAGAAACACACAUUUGACAAGACUUUCGUAGGAGUCUUGUGGGCAUUUCCAGGGGUAGUUUUAUGACCCUGGUGGUAGUGUGACCCUUCCUCUGUACCAUGAACCUAAGAAACACACAUUUGACAAGGCUUUCGUGGGAGUCUUGGGGGCAUUUCCAGGGGUAGUUUUAUGACCCUGGUGGUAGUGUGACCCUUCCUCUGUACCAUGAACCUGAAACACCACUCAUGAGAACACGACCAAUCUAUUUUAGGCCUCUGGAAAUAAUUAAUGAGAGGGGCAGUAACGAGCUUUUUCAGGUUAAUUUAUAUGAUUUUUAGGUCAUCUCGUACUAUUUUGGGGUCAGAAUUUUCUUUUCCUGUUGGGUAACUUUACUUUUUUUUGUGUGUGUGUGAGAAUUUUUAAUCUUUUUUUCUUUCUUUUUUUCAAUGCCGUCAUCACAACCAC